rnacentral:lncRNA from 1 species
AUUCCGUUUGUUACCGGAGAAGGUAACGGUUCGGUGACUACAGCGGUUGGAUCGAAGUCGUCUGAUAAGAUGUCGAGUUUUUCGAUUAAGCUGGCCAUUGUUAGGGAUUGAUCAGAUUCAAAAGCUCCAACCAUUGUAAUAAAGGAAUCUGGUGGAAUCUGUAGAUCUGAGAGAUUGGAGGAGAAGCGGUGAAAAUGGUGGGACAAAGAGAGAGAGACACACACACAAAACGAGAGAGAGACACACACACAAAACGAGAGAGCCGCUUCUUCGUUGAUUUAUUUAUAUAGAAGAGGCAAAU